rnacentral:lncRNA from 1 species
GGUCAGAUCGGAGGAGUCCGUAGACUUACUGACGUAGCUGGACAAGAGUGGAGGGAGGUUAGAGGCGGCGAGUGCAUCGUCGAAGAUGUCCUCGCCGACAAAGAGGUCGGCGGGGUCCAGGCGGAAGGGAGGUUCGACGUGGAACGAUGGCUUGCAAAGCCGCAUCACCCUGAAUGCCAGGGAGUGCGUUCCUUGUUGCGUCGUGCUCAUGGCUUAACGCCUUCAGAAUUAUGAGCAACCCAGAAUUUUGCCCUUUGUUCUCUUUGCUAAAUUGAGGCU